GAUGAACGCUAGCGGCAGGCUUAACACAUGCAAGUCGAGGGGUAACAUGGGUAGCAAUACCUGAUGACGACCGGCAAACGGGUGCGGAACACGUACGCAACCUACCUUACCCGGGGCAUAGCCCGAAGAAAUUCGGAUUAACUCCCCAUAAGAUAUUAGAGAGGCAUCUUUUAGAUAUUAAAAUUUAUUGGGUAAGGAUGGGCGUGCGUCCCAUUAGCUAGUUGGUAGGGUAACGGCCUACCAAGGCGACGAUGGGUAGCUGGUGUGAGAGCACGACCAGCCACACGGGCACUGAGACACGGGCCCG
rnacentral:rRNA from 1 species